rnacentral:misc_RNA from 1 species
GCUGAUUCAUCAUCUCCAUGACCUAUAAUAUCACCAAAUUACUUCAAUUUCUGCCAGAAAAUUUUAUAUGAAAUGCAACUGUAAAACUUAUUAGAUAAAGAAUGGAAUUUGUGUGUAUCCCGCUAUUCACUUCAUAAUUCUUCAAAACCCAAAAUUUCAUAAUGAAAAAGAAGAAAAGAGAAUCAGUAGUCUAGAUUAUGAGAAAUACGUUGAGAAUGUCCCACAUCAGGAAAAUAUGAAAGAGAAAAGGUAAAUAUAAAUGGUUGGAUUGCAACAUUAAAAUUGACUAGUAAUUUUGAUAUAUAAAACAACUCAAUCACUCAUAUAAACUCGAAUUAAUAUGUAAUUUGUUAACACUCUCUUCAUAUUUAACAUGAAUGAAGCUUAUAUAACCUUCAAACUGUCACAGUCGAACAAAUAAACAAUUUUGUAGUACGACAUAAGAGUUGGCUUGAUUUUUCUUUGCAAAGGGAAAACAGAAAUUCAAGCAGUCAUGCACAGAACAUUCAAGUGCUGCAAUUAAGAAAUAUAUCAAAAAAAAUUCCUAGGGCAUUUUUAAGCAAAUUCCAUGUAUAAUGGCUUUGAUAGUAUUCUGUGACAAACAGAAGUGGCUGUCCAAUGAAGAGUCUGCGAGGCAGCACUACUUUCAUCUUUUUUCCAGUUCAGCAAAAUUCAGUCAUUUAAGAACUCAUUUGAGUACGAGUAGGGAACAGUAAAUCAAACAAUCAUUAGCCAAAGAUUGAUCCCCCAGUAAGCAGCUAGAUGCAAAAAUCCAUGAAUAUCUGUUCUACUAUUUGAUUUUGUGAUCUAAUAUAAUCUAGUACGACGGCUUACUGCAGAUUGAUCCACUGGUAGACAUGUUAUGAGCAACUAUUAGUCACAAAACGAAUAUAUAGUAAGAUCACCUUGCGAUAAUUUAAAGGGAAAGCAAGGAUAGAAUAGCUAUACAUCCCAAGUAGCCAAGGACUGAUGAAGCCUAAUUUUUCUAGAUUACGUGUACUAAUUAUUUCAAACUCAUCAAGACAAGAAAAAAGAAAAAAAAAAAAUCAAAGGGCAAGUCUAUGUGAUGCAGUAUUAGAAUAUACAAUUUAGAAAUUAUAUUCUAUGUAAAAUUAGGAUGUUUAGAUUUCUAUUAUUUAGAAAAUAUUAAUAGCAUUUCUAUUAUUUAGGAAUUUUAUUACUCCCCCAUCCCAAAAUUAUAGGCCUAGUUUGACUUUCACAUGGAUUAAAAAAAGUAGUUAAUAUGGUUAAACUAUAAAUUUUUUCCUAUUAUACCCUUAUAUUAAUGAUCCAUGAAACUAAUCAAAAUUUAAUUAAUUAAUGUGAAAGGUCUUCUAUUUUGUUGAUCAUAGUCUACUAAAGAGAUGAUGUACACAUGUGGCUUAUAAAAACUCAAAAAACAUUUUAUUAAAUAGAAUUUUCUAGGAAUAUAGUUUUAAUGAGUUGUUUAUUUUAAUGUAUUUAAUUAAUUGUGAUAGGAGUAUUUUAUUUAAAGGUUGGAUUGACUAAUAGAAUAUAUUUAUUAAUAGAGAUGCCAUUAAAUACGGAUAAAAUAGGAAAUUAAAUAAAUUAUCUUAUUCUAAAAAAGGAAACAGGACUACAUUAUGAAACAAGUGAAAAAGGAAAGCGAGUCUUUUUUAAUGGGACAAAGAGAAUACUAUUAUUAUUAUUUAGGAAGUAGUAUUUUAAUUUUGUAGAAGUUUGUUUUGUUUAGCAUUCUUAUUUAGUUUCAACUAGGAUUUGUUAUUUUACUAUAAAUACCUAUGACUAGGUAUUUUAUUAGUAGAGUUUUUUUAUUAUCGUUGUUGUUGUUGUUGAGAAUUAAUAAGGGUUUUUGAGAAUUUGUUUUUCUUUUGUCUUGAGAAUUUGUCUCUCUUGGAUCUUUAUUCUUCUUCUUAUACAUAACUAUGAAUUUUUGGAAACUCAAGCAAGGUGUCUAAAAUUUACCAUAUAAUUUAAUUUAUAACCUUUUAGCUAUAGAACAACAACAAUCAGGUUACAAGUUCAUUGUGAUGGGUUAAACCAAAUCACAUGAAAUUUUAUCGCAACUCCAAGAAAUAAUUUUUCCAACUAAAAUUUUUCCAAUAAGGCUAAUCUGUGAACAAAGCCUGUCUCAUCAUCUGAUUAUGCUACCUCCUUGGUAAACAAAUAUUUUACUCAUGCAUUCUAGCUUUCACAUAGAAGUUCCUUCAUGCUGCAGGAACAUAUUUGAUAACCAAAGAAUGCCUUCUUGCAAGGCCAAAUAGAUGGCAAAUGGUUGGCCUCAUGUUAAAGGAAAUGUGUCAUGGGCUGGAGAGUUGGGCUUUCUACUCAAUUUAUAUAUUUUAUCAAAUUGGGUUUGACAGGCCUCACUUAUUGUUAAAAUGGCCUAAGCCAUUUUAACUUUGAUGGGCUCAUCUUCUAUACUCAUAUUUUUUCCUUUGCCCACUUAUGUAGGACUCCCACUUCCAACAAAAUGAGAUGUUAGCAUGAUGUCUUAAUU